rnacentral:rRNA from 1 species
CCUACGGGAGGCAGCAGUAGGGAAUCUUCCACAAUGGGCGAAAGCCUGAUGGAGCAACGCCGCGUGGGUGAAGAAGGUCUUCGGAUCGUAAAACCCUGUUGUUAGAGAAGAAAGUGCGUGAGAGUAACUGUUCACGUUUCGACGGUAUCUAACCAGAAAGCCACGGCUAACUCCGUGCCAGCAGCCGCGGUAAUACGGAGGAUGCGAGCGUUAUCCGGAUUUAUUGGGUUUAAAGGGUGCGCAGGCGGUCUGUUAAGUCAGCGGUCAAAGCCCGGGGCUCAACCCCGGCCCGCCGUUGAAACUGGCAGUCUCGAGUUGGAGAGAAGUAUGCGGAAUGCGCGGUGUAGCGGUGAAAUGCAUAGAUAUCGCGCAGAACUCCGAUUGCGAAGGCAGCAUGCCGGCUCCACACUGACGCUGAGGCACGAAAGCGUGGGUAUCGAACAGGAUUAGAUACCCCGGUAGUC